AUUGAACGCUGGCGGCAGGCUUAACACAUGCAAGUCGAGCGGGGGAAGGUAGCUUGCUACUGGACCUAGCGGCGGACGGGUGAGUAAUGCUUAGGAAUCUGCCUAUUAGUGGGGGACAACAUCUCGAAAGGGAUGCUAAUACCGCAUACGUCCUACGGGAGAAAGCAGGGGAUCUUCGGACCUUGCGCUAAUAGAUGAGCCUAGGUCGGAUUAGCCAGUUGGUGGGGUAAAGGCCUACCAAGGCGACGAUCUGUAGCGGGUCUGAGAGGAUGAUCCGCCACACUGGGACUGGGACACGGCCCAGACUCCUACGGGAGGCAGCGGUGGGGAAUAUUGGACAAUGGGGGGAACCCUGAUCCAGCCAUGCCGCGUGUGUGAAGAAGGCCUUAUGGUUGUAAAGCACUUUAAGCGAGGAGGAGGCUACUCUAGUUAAUACCUAGGGAUAGUGGACGUUACUCGCAGAAUAAGCACCGGCUAACUCUGUGCCAGCAGCCGCCGUAA
rnacentral:rRNA from 1 species